UACGGGGGGAGCAAGCGUUGUUCGGAUUUACUGGGCGUAAAGGGCGCGUAGGCGGCCAGCACAAGUCAGUUGUGAAAUCUCCGAGCUUAACUCGGAAAGGUCAACUGAUACUGUGCGGCUAGAGUGCAGAAGGGGCAACUGGAAUUCUUGGUGUAGCGGUGAAAAUGCGUAGAUAUCAAGAGGAACACCUGCGGCGAAGGCGGGUUGCUGGGCUGACACUGACGCUGAGGCGCGAAAGCUAGGGGAGCGAACGGG
rnacentral:rRNA from 1 species